rnacentral:rRNA from 1 species
AAUAGAUACCCCGGUAGUCCUAGCUGUAAACGAUGAGCACUGGGUUGAGGGGACUUCCACAUCCUCUCGGCCGUAGCGAAAGCGUUAAGUGCUCCGCCUGGGGAGUAUGGCCGCAAGGCUGAAACUCAAAGGAAUUGACGGGGGCUCACACAAGCGGUGGAGGAUGUGGCUUAAUUCGAGGCUACGCGAAGAACCUUACCCUAGAUUUGACAUGGUUGAGAAUCUCCUUGAAAGAGGAGAGUGCCCUUCGGGGAGCUCUUUCACAGGUGCUGCAUGGCUGUCGUCAGCUCGUGUCGUGAGAUGUUGGGUUAAGUCCCUUAACGAGCGAAACCCUUAUCUUUAGUUGCCAGCGGGUCAAGCCGGGGACUCUAAAGAGACUGCCGGUGUCAAACCGGAGGAAGGUGGGGAUGACGUCAAGUCCUCAUGGCCUUUAUGUCUAGGGCUGCACACGUCCUACAAUGGCACGUACAAAGGGAAGCCAAGCCGCGAGGCCGCGCUAAUCCCAAAAAGCGUGCCCCAGUUCGGAUUGCAGG